rnacentral:lncRNA from 1 species
CUCUUCCCUUCCUCCAUACUACUUGUAGUCUCCAUCCACAGGUCCUGAUUUUCAUUUCUCUUUCCAGUCAAGAAUCUCCAGACAGUCCCAUCAUUGCAGGCAGAAACUACAGGAAGAGAUGAGCAGUUAUUAGAGAAGAUGGCCCUUAAGAUAACUCUUUGAGAAAUGGACAAAAAAUUUAUAUGUGAGACCUACUGUUUUGGGGACCUGGAUCCACAGAAUACAAUUCUGAAAAUCCAUAGCAGCUGCAAGUGGCGAGCAAGGUCCUGAGCAUUCCAAGGAUUGCAGGUGGAUUGGGCAAGUAAUAUGUUUUGAAUACAAAUGGUUUGUUUUAAAAAUGUAUACUGAUUCUAUUGUGUUUAGUACAACUUAAUUUAUCAUCAAAACUGAAUCAUGGUGGCUUUUUACUAUGCUUUCUUCAAUUAAUAGCUACUGAAAAUAAAGAAAC